UACGAAGGGGGCGAGCGUUGUUCGGAUUUACUGGGCGUAAAGGGCGCGCAGGCGGCUCAUUUUGUCAGGCGUGAAAGCCCCGGGCUUAACCUGGGAACUGCGUUUGAUACGGAUGGGCUAGAGUUCGGGAGAGGAGAGUGGAAUUCCCAGUGUAGAGGUGAAAUUCGUAGAUAUUGGGAGGAACACCAGUGGCGAAGGCGGCUC
rnacentral:rRNA from 1 species